UGCGGAAGGAUCAUUGUUGAGAUUCGAAGAGAAAUCAUUUUAGAAUUUGUCAAUUAUAUGAUUUUGCGCCAACAAAACAGAGCAUGAGAGCAUUCUCUUUAUUGACCUGUUUUUUGGACAAAUAGUCAUGCUGACCCUUCUUGAUGGCGGUGCAGACAUGCAAGCGAUUUUGGGCACGGUAUGUGUCAAGAAUGUAAAUUGUGUUUGGCAGGUUGUGUGCGUUUGCAAAGCCCUUUGUUGAUGCACACACUUGUUGUGGAGUGGUAGUUAUUCAAUGUUAUGACUCUCGGCAACGGAUAUCUAGGCUCUUGCAUCGAUGAAGAACGUAGCGAAAUGCGAUACUUGGUGUGAAUUGCAGAAUCCCGUGAACCAUCGAGUCUUUGAACGCAAGUUGCGCCCGAGAUCUCUUGGUUGAGGGCACGCCUGCCUGGGCGUCACACCUUACGUUGCUCCAACCAUUCCCAAUGAUGGGUUAAGGUGGAUGCGAAGAUUGGCUCAUCAUUCUUUUCUAGUAGUGGUGAGCUGAAGUAUGCGAUGUCCAUGCAGUAUGGGGACAUGACAAGUGGUGGGUAGAAGUAUGCUUUUUACAUAACUAAUGUCAUUCCCUCCAUGACGUCAUCCUGCAAAAGGGGCCCUUUAUUGGUGAAAUUGGUGGCAACCAUCAAACUAAGGAUGCCAGUUGCUUCAGCUUGUUGCGACCCCAGGUCAGACGGGACUACCCGCUGAGUUUAAGCAUAUCAAUAAGC
rnacentral:rRNA from 1 species